rnacentral:tRNA from 1 species
GCUCCUAUGGUGGAAUUGGUAGACACGAUAGAUUUAGGAUCUAUUGCGAAAGCGUGCAGAUUCGAGUUCUGCUAGGAGUA